AAACCAGCACCUCAAGUGGUCAGGAUGAUUAUUGGGCCUAAAGCUUCCGUAGCCGGCUCUGUAAGUUUGCGGAUAAAUCUGUACGCUUAACGUACAGGCUGCUGGGAAUACUGCAGAGCUAGGGAGUGGGAGAGGUAGACGGUACUCGGGAGGAAGUGGUAAAAUGCUUUGAUCUCUCGAUGACCACCUGUGGCGAAGGCGGUCUACCAGAACACGUCCGACGGUGAGGGAUGAAAGCUGGGGGAGCAAACCGGAUUAGAAACCCGUGUAGUCC
rnacentral:rRNA from 1 species